CCGCUUUUUGUUUUGUUUUGUUUAUUAAAGCAGUGUAUAUCCACAAAUAUGUAAAGUGAUGGAAGAAAUGUAAGAUAGAGCUCCAAAAGGAAUGCAACCUGGUGUGGGAGGCAACCAGCCAUUCUUCACCAUAAGAUAUGCUAGCAAGAACCAAUGAAAGAUGCAAUCAUUUUUAGAUAGCAUUCGGAGGGCCUAUAAAGAGUGCACUCCUGCUCUCAAAGAAUUCACAGAAGCAUAAUUCAAUGAACAGACUGGGAAUCUCUGCUGACAUGUCUCACAAUGAUGUAUGGAACAUAUGAAGUGGAGUCUUCAUGCAAAGAUUGGAUCAUAUGGAUUUGGCAGUUCCCAUCCCAACGCUCAUCUUCAUUGGUGGGACAUAAUGGAACUGAAUCCUCCAUUCAUUCUGGAACUGGAUUGUUGCAGUCCAGGUUCAUAUCCUUAAUCCACUUAAACCAGAGAAGGCAAAGCUGCUCCUCAUUAGUUGAAAGGUAGCUGAAGUGGGGAUGGGGUUGCACUCUCU
rnacentral:lncRNA from 1 species